AUCAGACUUAUCCUCUCUCGGUGGAGCCAGUUACGUCGUUGACUUUGCCGUUUACAUAGGCUCCCAGGGCGUUCAGGAAGAGGGCCUCACUCCUGGAGCCUCCUGCCAGCAGCAACCUUCCGUUGCCUAUCCUUGGGCUGGGUUACCAUCUCUACGUAGACAAUUACUACUUCCGGUAAACAAUUUCGCCAGCUCAAGCAAAAGGAAGAAUAUGCUGCUGGAGCAAUGCGCCGAGGACGCUCCGGUCUACCACUGCAAGUUGGUGGACCAAUCUUAAAAAGGAGGACAGAGGCAAUUGCCGUUGGACACGUGACGGCGAUUGCCUGUACCUAGUCUGGGUCGACAACAGUAUCCCUGUCUUUUGCUCAACUCUUCAUCAAGGGUCAACGCAAAACUUGACUGUGGAGAAGAAAGGCUAAGGAAGUGGUAGGUAGCUUGAGCAUUUAACAGUAAUGUAAAUUGAAUUUUCUAAAUGUGGUUUUAAGAAAGGCAAGGAAAUUUUCUUGCCCACCGGUCGUUCCAGACUACAAUAGGUACAUGGGUGGUGUCGACCUGUUUGACCAGAUGUUAGGUGCCUACCCGGUCUUCAGUAAGGUCUUCUGUUGGCCGAAUGUCUUCCUGUUCAACUUCCUCCAGACCGCAGCAAUGAAUUCAUGGCACCUGUACAAAGUUACCACCAAUCCGAAAAUGAAACAUCUUGACUUUCAAGCAAGAACUACUGUUCAAAGAACUGGUCGCUGCCAAACAGAAAGCUCAACUACAUCAUCCCAGCAGAGGAGGUCAACCACAAGACCCAGUCGCCUCCUCUGCAGCAUUCUAUAUCCUUCCCAUGCACCACACUCCCAUGUUUGAAUUGACGAGCAGCACCGUGGUCGUUGUAUAUAUUGUUAUUUUCAAAGACAGGGGGCCAAGGUGCAAACAUUUUGCAAGGAGCGUGGUGUAUUCUUAUGUUUGCGUCUAGACUGUAAUUGGUUUAUAUUGUAUCAUAGCAAAAAGUAACUAAGCCUGAUUUAAUGUGUUUUGUAAAAAGGGUAACGUGGAAUAGUAUAAAUAUGUACAGUUCAUCAUUUGUAAAUAUCUAGAUCUUAUGUAUACUGUAUAUAUAAAGAGUUGAUGUGGCCAGAAUGGCUGCUACUGCAUCUGUGGCUCUGUAUUUUAGUUUCUUCGUUUCAUAGGUAAGUUAAUGUUUAUAGUCGUGUAGAGUGUAGUCCGUUCCGAGUUCUCAUUGCGUUUGUGAGGCCGUAUAGCUGUAGUCCAGGCUUUGCGCUAGACCUUUGAUGUUGAAGGAGAAGGGUCCUAAUAGGGACCACCUUCAAUUGUU